GACGAACGCUGGCGGCGUGCUUAACACAUGCAAGUCGAACGGAAAGGCCCUGCUUUUGUGGGGUGCUCGAGUGGCGAACGGGUGAGUAACACGUGAGUAACCUGCCCUUGACUUUGGGAUAACUUCAGGAAACUGGGGCUAAUACCGGAUAGGAGCUCCUGCUGCAUGGUGGGGGUUGGAAAGUUUCGGCGGUUGGGGAUGGACUCGCGGCUUAUCAGCUUGUUGGUGGGGUAGUGGCUUACCAAGGCUUUGACGGGUAGCCGGCCUGAGAGGGUGACCGGACACGUUGGGACUGAGAUACGGCCCAGACUCCUACGGGAGGCAGCAGUGGGGAAUAUUGCACAAUGGGCGGAAGCCUGAUGCAGCAACGCCGCGUGCGGGAUGACGGCCUUCGGGUUGUAAACCGCUUUCGCCUGUGACGAAGCGUGAGUGACGGUAAUGGGUAAAGAAGCACCGGCUAACUACGUG
rnacentral:rRNA from 1 species